GAUGAACGCUCGCUGUGUGCCUAAUACAUGCAUGUUGAACGGGAUGUAGCAAUACAUUCAGUAGCGAAGGGGUGAGUGUCACGUACCUAACCUACCUUUAAGACUGGGGUAACUAUUGGAAACAAUAGCUAAUACCGGAUAUAGUUAUAUAUCGCAUGAUGAGUAAUAGAGAGGGGCUUCACAGCUUCACUUUAAAACGGGGGUGCGGAACAUUAGUUAGUUGUGGGGGUAAAGGCCUACCAAGACGAUGAUGUUUAGCCGGGGCGAGAGGGUUUACGGCCACACUGGGGCUGAGAGACGGCCCAGACUCUUACGGGGGGGGGCAGUGAGGGAUUUUUCACAAUGAGCGAAAGAUUUUUGGGAGCGACACACCGCGCGGGAUGAAGUUCUUCGGAAUGUGAACUGCUGUUUUAGGGGAAAAAAAAAAAGAAAAGGAAAAAAUUUUAUCUUUGGGGGGCCCUUUUUUGAAAACGACACCAAACUAUGUGCCCGCACCGGCGGUAAAACAUAGGGCGCCAAGCGUUAUCCGGAAUUUUUGGGGGGAAAAGCGUCCGUGGGGUUUUUGCUAAGGCUGGAGUUAAAAGCGGAAACUCCACUUUCAGUCCGCUUUGGGAAACUGGGAAAAAAAAAUAUUAAAGGGGGUUGGCGGGAAUUCCUAGGGAAAGGGGGGGGAAUCGUGGAUAUUUGGGAAGAACCCCAUAAGGGGAGGGGGGUUAAUUUGUUUUAUAUUUGCACUAAAGGGCCAAAACGGGGGGGGGCAAAAAGGGUUAGAAACCCCGGAAUCCAAAGGGGCAUUUCCCAUUUGGUUCUACCCCGGGGAUCCCUUGGUCUUGAGGGGCCCCCCCCGGGAGACCCUAUUCCCCUAUAGGUGGGGUGGUUUUCCGCGCUCUCCUGGGCGAGGAGUAAAAAACUGCGUGACUGGAAAACUCUGGGGUUACCUCAUUUAAUCCCUUGUGGAUAUCCCGUUGCGCGGAGGGGAAAAUGCAGAGUGCCUUUUUAAUUAAUUUGUGGCA
rnacentral:rRNA from 1 species